CGCGUGGUGUGCGCGGUCCCCGUGCAGCCCGCCCUGCCGCAGGCUGCCCUCCACCCCCAGCCCCAGCUCCAGCCCCCAGCCCGUCCCCACUGCUCAUAUCCGAGCAGAUAGACCCCGGCCCCACCCUCCCGUGCUGAGCCUCCUUUCUGCCGGGAAGUUCGUCCGGGAGUCAAACAUCGCUGCCCUCCGGUUGCGCCACGGAGGGGGAGCCAGGAUAGGAAGCUGCCGUGAAAUCAGGAAGCUGAGCGCGCCGGGCCCCGGAUCCGAACAGAAAAGGCUUCCACCCGCUCCCCUGAGGGAUCCCACGCUGAGGGACUGAACCCCGCACCCCAGCCGCGCUCACCACCCCCACCCUCUCGCCUGGGCUGCUCUGACCUGGGGAUUCCAGAACUGCCACUCAAAGUGCCCUAUGAGGAGCUGUGGUAACAAGGUAAAAGGCAGGAGCCAUCCUUUGGAAGCCAUCAGCAAGCUCUGUGACCAUCAGAGCUAUUAUCUGUGAUCAUAUACAUAACCUGAAGAUAGCAUAUCAUACUUUUUUUUAAUACUUUCAACUCCAAAAGGCUUUGGGCUUGUAAAAACAUAGUUUCAAAGAUUUUUAUUUUAUCAGCCACCAUCUCCAUUUUUACCUAUCCUUCCCAUAAAUGCAAGGAUAUGUUUUAGUUCUGAAACAUGAAAGUUAAUUUGAUUUUAUCCUGCAACUCUUGAGAACUGAUCUUUCUAGCCAGCAUAAAGAAAGUAUACUGACACAAAAAUCUUCAGAAAAAAUAUAGGAGGAUUAAAUACUCAAUUACUUCCAGGAUUGCUUACUCCUUUCCAAAGGGACUGCAAACCCCUUUCCAGAAGGAAAUUUCAAACUAAAAAAUUUUCUUUCAAUCAGAAGUUCAGUGAUUUUACUGCCAUCUAAAGUAAAUUAACUUUGAAAAUAAGUAUAAAAAUUAUAAUUGUAAUUUAUUGAUUCAAAAUUUUGUAUUUGGCAUUCCUUCUCAAAAAUUGUAGUCCAAUAUAAAAUUAGGCCAUGUGGAAAACAGUAAAGGCCUUUACUAGAUAUUCCUAGAAAACACUGAAGCAAGUACUAAAUAAAAUAAAAA
rnacentral:lncRNA from 10 species